AUGCAAGUCAAGGGGCCUUCGGGUCACUGGCGCACGGGUGAGUAACGCGUAGAUAAUCUACCCAUACCUCUGACAUAACUGCUGGAAACGGUAGCUAAUAUCAGAUGAGGCCUACGGGUCAAAGUUUUAAUGGAUAUGGAUGAGUCUGCGUCUGAUUAGCUAGCUGGUAGUGUAAUGGACUACCAAGGCAACGAUCAGUAACUGGUCUGAGAGGACGAUCAGUCACACUGGAACUGAGACACGGUCCAGACUCC
rnacentral:rRNA from 1 species